CCGUUAGAAAGAGGUUGGAGUGCACGCAGUUUAUUGCUGACAUGGUCAUUGCUUAUAUUGCAACAAUUUUCUUCUUGCUAGUCAACCUGCAUACGAUCACCCUGCCAGGGAUUCCGUAAUCGGAGAUGCAUUUUUUUUGGGGAUUAAAACGUAUUGCAAUGUUUCAACUUAGAAAAGGAUAAAAUGCUCAGUACACCGAUCCAAUAAGGAAAGUAGUGAUUGGCCCAGC
rnacentral:lncRNA from 1 species